AUAUAGACCAGUCUCUCUCUCCAGACUGGCUCAGCAGGGCAGGGGUGUGAGGUGAAGAUAUAGACCAGUCUCUCUCUCCAGACUGGCUCAGCAGGGCAGGGGUGUGAGGUGAAGAUAUAGAACAGUCUCUCUCUCCAGACUGGCUCAGCAGGGCAGGGGUGUGUGGGGUGUGUGGUGAAGAUAUAGACCAGUCUCUCUCUCCAGACUGGCUCAGUUGUCUCCCACCAGUUCUUGGCAUUCAUUGUUUCAUUGUGUGAAUUGUUUUUCCCUUUUAUUUCUUAUUUUGAUUAAUUCA